AGCGUUGUCCGGAAUCAUUGGGCGUAAAGCGCGUGUAGGCGGCCCGGUAAGUCCGCUGUGAAAGUCCAGGGCUCAACCCUGGGAUGCCGGUGGAUACUGUCGGGCUCGAGUCCGGAAGAGGCGAGUGGAAUUCCUGGUGUAGCGGUGAAAUGCGCAGAUAUCAGGAGGAACACCAAUUGCGAAGGCAGCUCGCCGGGACGUUACUGACGCUGAGACGCGAAAGCGUGGGGAGCAAACAGG
rnacentral:rRNA from 1 species